AAUAGGCCAGUAGGGCAGAGCCUGGCACAGGGAGGCUGCUGAAGCAGCAGUCAUCAGCUGCCCUGGCAACCAGCCUUCAGGGUUUAACGAGAAACCCCUGGGGGCUGGAGCACCAGGGGAUGGGAAGGGGCAGGGCAUAAGUGGUAUAUAAGCCUAGGGUCUGAGCCAGGUCAGGUAGCCUGUCCCAGCAAUCUGGGGUGUGAAGAGCUUGUAGGUGCAGACUGCAGGAAGAGGCUCUGCCGGCUCCUGGAUCCCCUAAGGAGGCAGUCAAUCCAGGUGAGGACACCCAGGCACAGGCCCUUGAGACAACGGCUGCCUGAACUGAGGUAGCACUUGCAGUUGUGGGCAAGAUCUUGCCGCGCCAGGCGCUGUACAAAUGCACACCAGACAGGGCCUGCUCCAUAGGGUGAACCGCUGCACCCCAAGACCUGUUCCAGAUUCCUGAGCUGCCCUGGGCUUCCUGAGUUUGCUGCAACAACAGAACAGAAGUGCUCUAGUAUUUUUCCAUAGUCAAGAAACAAGUGAAGAGCUGGCACUUUCCCUGCGGUGACAGGAGUCUCACAAGGUUAAGAACCACUGGUCUAGUACUUUGUGGGAGCUGUAGUUUCCAGACACAGAAGUGGGAGUAGAUGCUCUCCAG